UGAUGGUGUGACGGUGAUGAUGAUGUGGAGGUGUCCGUGCCCUUGUUUUCCCAGCAAACGCUCCUUUCGGGCUCUCCCGUGCCGUGCGUGCGUGUGUGUGUGUGUGCGUGUGUGCAUAUGUGUGUGUGCGUGCGUGUGUGCCUGCAUGCAUGUGUGUGUGUGUGUGUGUGUGUGUGUGUGUGUGUGCGGCAGAGCGUCUCUCUUGGCUCAGUGUCUGGAGUGAGAGUGUAAGUGGUGUGUGUGUGUGUGAUUAGGUGAGAGUGAGAGUGUGUGAGUGUGUGUGUGUGAUUAGGUGAGAGUGAGAGUGUGAGUGUGUGUGUGUGAUUAGGUGAGAGUGAGAGUGGUGUGAGUGUGUGUGUGUGAUUAGGUGAGAGUGUGUGUGUGUGAUUAGGUGAAAGUGAGAGUGUGUGUGUGAUUAGGUGAGAGUGAGAGUGAGAGUGGUGUGAGUGUGUGUGUGUGAUUAGGUGAGAGUGAGAGUGUGAGUGUGUGUGUGUGAUUAGGUGAAAGUGAGAGUGUGUGUGUGUCUGAGAGGAGGAGGGCCAGGCAGGCCUACAGCUGUGUGGCCACAGGCAGUGUGUAAAAACUGGAACCCGUAAAAAAA
ensembl:lncRNA